rnacentral:rRNA from 1 species
ACAUGCAAGUCGAGCGGUAAGGCCCCUUCGGGGGUACACGAGCGGCGAACGGGUGAGUAACACGUGGGUGAUCUGCCUCGCACUCUGGGAUAAGCCUGGGAAACUGGGUCUAAUACCGGAUAUGACCACUGGUCGCAUGGUUGGUGGUGGAAAGAUUUAUCGGUGCGAGAUGAGCCCGCGGCCUAUCAGCUUGUUGGUGGGGUAAUGGCCUACCAAGGCGACGACGGGUAGCCGGCCUGAGAGGGCGACCGGCCACACUGGGACUGAGACACGGCCCAGACUCCUACGGGAGGCAGCAGUGGGGAAUAUUGCACAAUGGGCGAAAGCCUGAUGCAGCGACGCCGCGUGAGGGAUGACGGCCUUCGGGUUGUAAACCUCUUUCGACAGGGACGAAGCGCAAGUGACGGUACCUGUAGAAGAAGCACCGGCCAACUACGUGCCAGCAGCCCGCGGUAAUACGUAGGGUGCGAG